rnacentral:rRNA from 1 species
UACGUAGGGCGCAAGCGUUAUCCGGAAUUAUUGGGCGUAAAGAGCUCGUAGGCGGCUUGUCGCGUCUGCCGUGAAAGUCCGGGGCUCAACUCCCGGAUCUGCGGUGGGUACGGGGCAGACUAGAGUGAUGUAGGGGAGACUGGAAUUCCUGGUGUAGCGGUGAAAUGCGCAGAUAUCAGGAGGAACACCGAUGGCGAAGGCAGGGUCUCUGGGCAUUAACUGACGCUGAGGAGCGAAAGCAUGGGGAGCGAACAGG